UGAAGUUUGUCUCAAAGAUUUUCAAGAUUUUUUUUCCUGAGGGAUGAACGGUUGUCAGUGAAUCAUAUGGUUGUCAGUGAAUCUUAAAUUCGAUCAUAUGGUUGUCAGAUCAUAUGGUUGGACUGGAGAUCAUAUGGUAGAUGAGCAGAUCAUAUGGUUGUUAGUGAAUCUUAAAUUUGAUUUAGACAGGUAAAUCUUUCUUGUUAAGAAUUAUUUUGGAUGGGAAUUUUCGAUUUUGAGGAGAAGAAUAUUAACCCAUUUGGAAAGAAGAUAUGGAUAAACAGAAAAACCCUAGAUUUAUCUCAAAAUCAGAGAAAAAAAAGUUAAGAAACCAUUUCGAUUUUUGUUAAUCUUCAUUUUCUUGGCGCCAUGUAAAUCAAAAGGGAAAAAAACUGGGCGGGAUUUUCCCCCGCUUGAUAUUCCAUUUUAUCUCCUAUAAACACAUCCCCAAAGUUAUCAAGUUUUACUCACAAGAUACUGAUUGAAGGUGACAAUGCCUAACAACAAUGAACAACCAGCUCCAACAACUUCAUCUUCUGAGGAAGCGUUCUGCAGCAGGUGCAAAAGCAAGAGAAACUGUUGCGUUCAACCAUUGUGGAGGUUCUAAAUCACAUGUGGUCCACAUGGAGGAGGUAUCUUCCUUUAUGAAUAAGAAUAUCAAAAAUGAUAUAUACACCGAAUUUUCUGCACCGGGGUGGGUACCGUGUGAGAGGGGGUGGGACCCAUGCCUUCCCACCACCCUCCUGAUGCUAAGCAUGCUGCACUAAGGAUCGUUAGAUCCGUAUCGGUGUGUG